rnacentral:lncRNA from 1 species
AUCCUUUAAUUUAAAAGGCAGCGCGCAGUUAUAAAGAAGACUUGGGACGUAACCCGGCCUGAGAAGCAGGCGUGCUGCCCCUUUGGGUCUCCUGCAAGCUGAUCCAGUUGGAAUUGAUACUGAUGGAAGAUUUUUUCCGCCUUGGAAAGACAAAGAUGGUUCCGAUGGUUUGGUGCUCCAUCUAGUGGAUAGUCUCUGUGACGAAAAACUCUGUGAUAAUAAAAGAAAUGCCUUCAAGAAGAAUGACAGUCUAGAGCCGGAGUUGAAUGAGAUGAUUUUGUGAAACUCCACAUAUGUAUGAAAGAAAAUAAUCAAGUACAGAGCUCAGGGGAAAAUACACAAAACUAUAUGGACUUAGAUUUUCAUCAGACCAGAAGAAAAAAUAAUCGUUUUUUGGAGGAAAAAACUCAUCAUCUCAGAGAGAGAGUGUCUCUCAUAUAUUUCAUUUUGUAUGAAAUAUGGCUUGGCUCCUAAGAUGCUAUAGUUCUCCAAAAAAGCAGGCAACACUGGGGCACCUCCUUCAGACAUGGGGAAAGAAGACUGCCAAGCAUUCGAAGGCCACGCAGCUGAGACGUGGCAGAGCUUGGGUUAAAAUCUUGUAACGCUGACCUGCAAGGCCGGCACUGCCUCCUCCACACGCACUUCCGCCCGCCGUGAUGCGCUGCUUCCACCGUCAUGCACUUCUGCCAGGAUGUGUGGCCUCGCAUCCGUGCUCCUUUGUGGGCAGCCUUCAUCCUUUGUAAUGUAGAAUGGUUAUGAGUGGCUGGUCAGGUGGAUGGAAAUUUUCUAAAAUACAUCAGACCAUUUCUUUUGUUGCUUUCUGAGACAGAAUACAUGGAAAUUAACAAAACAUCUUAAGAACAAUUUUACCUUUUUCAAAUAUUCAAAUAGAUUUUUCUGAAUUGAACAUUGAUUUUGGCCCUGCGCUAUAAUUUAACGAAAUCCUUAGUCAUUAACUCUGCCCCAUAAGCUAUGUAACCCCAGAAGUUUCCAUGAUUAAAAACAUUUCUGACAUCA